rnacentral:rRNA from 1 species
CGGAGGGGGCAAGCGUUGUUCGGAAUUACUGGGCGUAAAGGGCGCGUAGGCGGCCUGCUAAGUCGAACGUGAAAUCCCCGAGCUCAACCCGGGAACUGCGUCCGAUACUGGCAGGCUUGAAUCCGGGAGAGGGAUGUGGAAUUCCAGGUGUAGCGGUGGAAUGCGUAGAUAUCUGGAGGAACACCGGUGGCGAAGGCGGCAUCCUGGACCGGUAUUGACGCUGAUGCGCGAAAGCCAGGGGAGCAAACGGGAUUAGAUACCCCGGUAGUCCUGGCCCUAAACGAUGAAUGCUUGGUGUGGCGGGUAUCGAUCCCUGCCGUGCCGAAGCUAACGCAUUAAGCAUUCCGCCUGGGGAGUACGGUCGCAAGGCUG